AAUGGAUAAAUUCCUGGACAUUUACACCUACCAAGUUUGAACCAAGAACAAAUAGGAAACCCAAACAGACCAACUACAAGUAAUUAAAUUGAAUUAGUAACAAAAAGUGUCCCAUCAAAGAAAAGCCUAGGACCUGGUGGCUUCACUGUUGAAUACUAUCAAACAUUUAAGGAACUAAUAUCAAUUCUUCUCAAACUCUUCAAAUUAAAGAGGAGAGGAUUCUUUCAACUUAUUCUGAGACCAGCAUACCCUAAUACCAAAACCAGACAAGGACACAACAAAAAAACAAAACUAUAGGACAAAACCUAUGAUGAACAUAGAUGCAAAAAUCCU
rnacentral:lncRNA from 1 species